CAGUAAGCUCGGUAAAAGUUAAUUUUUAAUUUAAAAUAUGUUUUUUGAGAUCCCAGGCAUAUGACAGUGCUUAACGUGGCUUCACACGGACCGGAUUUUCGGAAACAGAAACCCGUUAAGAUCGGACAUUACUAUUAGUAUUCCUGUGCGUUUACUUUUACCAGCAUUUCCUAUGUCUUAUGGACGAAAGCUCUCAUCUGCGUGCAUGACCCAGGAAACCAGUGAGGGUCCCAAACUCGCUGGGAAAGUGUGGACUCAAUCUCCCAGAGCGCUUUGCGCCGCAGAGUCUGACAUCACCACUUCCUUCUCUGCCUCCCACCCACGGCGCUGCUGCAGUGCGCAGGCGCAAGGGACAUUCCAUGCAUGUCUGAGCUGUAGAGCAGUGUGGUUAACCGUCGGUGGGAGAGGAGCUGCCAAAAAACACACCUAUUACGCAACCAGCAUCUUGGCUGUAAUGGGAGUUCCCCCAAUACACAACUAGGAGUAUCUUCUGCACGUCUUGUCAAACCCACAAAGUCACCCUGUGAGAGCUUUUUGGAGAAGGCAACUUUCUUUUCAAAGUCGUGAACUGAAAAGAGGGUUGCAGGCUUGCGUGGCGUCGUCGGAAUCCACGCAGAGGCGAAAUAGACCGCCUGGACAGGGCCACUGCUCGUGAAGAGCUGUUUGAUUAUCGGCUGGUUGAUCAAGGCGCUUUCCCUGCGACACGUAGAAACGUCUACUGCUUGCUAUUGCAAAACACCUACAAAAUCAUUAUAACUGUGUUUACUAAGUAAAUGGAAUCAUGUGAAAGAAAUAAUGGUCUAGGAUCUUUAUAAAAUUCUCAUGAUGCACCGUUGCUUACGCGCACGAUUGAGCGAAAUGGGUCUUACAAGGGACCAUCAAUUCGACUUAAACCUUCGCUUUGCGCUGGAACCUCGGUCAAUCGGUAUUCGUCUCACAAUUGCUUCAGCACGAUCUGUGGCCAUGGCAACGCGCGUUCCCAUGGAAACCAGUGCGCAGAGAGGUGCUGGACCUACGUCUUUAUUUUAAAGACGAAUCCUUCACAAAUUCUCUUGUACUUUGUAACUGCCUCGCCUGCUGUAAAGUCAACACGUAUUGGGAUAUUCGUCUGAUUUGUUUGAUCCUACUGUCUUCUGCCGAUAAUUAGUCGUUGACUUGAAGUCGUUGAUCUUUCCCCGUCUAGUUAAAACAUACAGGCCCUAGAGAGCUAUAGAGAGGAAAGUCUGAUCUGCAUAGUAUGGCAGCCAGAAACUGCAAUGUUAAUAAUUCAACACAGCAAAAACAUUGUAAAUUCCUUUUGAAUUGUUUUGAGGUCGAAGGCGUCGGUCCAAGGUGUUACCGCCAGGGGGGGGCCGAGAUCGACUCAAAUCAACCAGAGCGACGAUCCACCGGGAUCAAACCGAAAGGAAAACCGUUCAACUUCAUUUUCAUUCAGCUUCUCCUUCUUUGUGCGGGAAAAUAAGCCCGUCUCAACAAAAGAAUAUAUAAAAGCUAAACGAAAAAAAAAAGUGUUCGAUCUCAACCUAUUGUGAAAUGAAUCUUAACAUUUCUCUAUACUGCUGUAAAAAGGGUAAUUAAGCUUAACUGGAUAAACC
rnacentral:lncRNA from 1 species